rnacentral:rRNA from 1 species
AUUGAACGCUGGCGGCAGGCCUAACACAUGCAAGUCGAGCGCGCGGCGGACGGGUGAGUAAUGCCUGGGAAUUGCCCAGUCGAGGGGGGUAACAGUUGGAAACGACUGCUCAUACCGCAUACGUUUGGCUUGCCCAGGUGGGAUUAGCUAGUUGGUGAGGUAAUGGCUCACCAAGGCGACGCUCCCUAGCUGGUCUGAGAGGAGGAUCAGCGACACUGGAACUGAGACACGGUCCAGAAUCCGACGGGAGGCAGCAGUGGGGAAUAUGGCACAAUGGGGGAAACCCGGAUGCAGCCAUGCCGCGUGUGUGAAGAAGGCCUUCGGGUUGUAAAGCAGUUGCAGCGAGGAGGCGGUACUCGCAGAAGAAGCACCGGCGAACUCCGUGCCAGCCGCCGCGGUAAUUC